rnacentral:tRNA from 1 species
GUUCUUGUGGUGUAGAAGCACGCUAGGUUUUCGUCCUAGGGGUAUGUGAGAGCAUCGAGAAUU